rnacentral:lncRNA from 1 species
AAGCACAAGCGAGAUCACGAGAAGAGUUCAAGAGAGAAAGGUGUGAUCUUAGGAAGCUCAAGUGAUGAGCCCCAAGAAGCGAUGCGUGAAGACCCAAGAGAGGAUAUCGAGAGGACCAAACUGAAGUCUUCUGCUGUGGAAAAAUGAAGCUUUGAUUUCUUUGCUUUAGAAGUGGAUGGUGUGGUGUUUUUUUUUUUAAUUUAUCAAUAAAUAAAAGUUUAAAUUUUGGAAACUAACAAAUUGCGAGAAAUGAUUCCACUUCCCCCCAACUUCAAUGAAACAUUGUCCUCAAUGUGAGCAUGCAUAAUUCAUUAAAGAGAGAGAAAUGAUUAUAACUGAGCAAGAAGAGAUCACCUAAAAAGAAAAACAGAAACUCUUCAAAAUAUAUACUACAGCGUGUCAUCUUGCAAAGCAAAAUUCUCCAAAAAUGGUUCAAGGUGUUGACCAUUAACUUUAAAAACUUUACCAUUUUUUGGAUCCUUAAUCUCUACUGCUCCAAAAGGAAAAACUCUUGUAACCACAAGUGGACCUAUCCAUCUAGAACGAAGUUUAUCAUGAAAAAUAUGCAAUCUCGAAUUAUAUAAGAGAACUUUCUAUGAUGGUUCAAAGUUCUUACUCAAAAUAUUUCUAUAAUGAAAACCCUUCAUUUUCUUUUUGUAAAUUCGAGAGUUUUCAUAAGCAUCAUUCCUCAAUUCUGCCAACUCAUUCAAUUGAAGCUUUCUAUUUGAACUUGCAUCAUUUAAACCAAAAUUAAACAUUUUAAUUGCCCAAUAUGCUUUAUGUUCAAGUUCAAUUUGCAAGUGACAAGCCUUACCGUAGACAAGUCUAUAUGGUGACAUCCCUAUGGGAGAUUUAAAUCAAAGAAACAUCUUAUCUGAAAAAUGCUUUUCCAGGUUCAGCUUGAAAUGAUUCCAAUCAUGAAGCACAAAAGAUAUAAUAUAUGGAAUUGCCAAGGGAAAUAAGAAAAUAAAAUAAGACUAUAUAAAUAAAUAAAUAAAAAUCUCAAUGGAAACACACAAAUGAAUAAACAAAACCAAAAGGAAACACAAAUUGGUUACAAAAAUAAAAAAUAAAAAUAAAUAAAUGUGUGGG